GAUUCAGCUGACAUUAGCACAUCGCUAAUGUUAGCUAGUUUAAUAGGGUUAAUUCUGGUGACAGAAACCCUUUAAGUAUUUUCAAUUUCUUACUUCCCAGAGAACCCCUGGGAAAAACCUCUGUGUGUGUUCCCAUUGUUACGCAUUUAAACAAAGAGUGAUGUACAUAUCCUCACAGUGUGCAUCUGGAUGCAAUUAAGGAUAAUCUAGCACAGGAAAAACCAAAGCAAAGUAAUUCUUUUGUCUAGACACAUGAUGUCCUCUAUGUAGCCAUCGAGCUUUUAUACCAAAUAUUGCAACCUAGAUACAUCCGGGUGUAUUCUGUCUUAUAUAGGAUUCAGAAAAUAAAUUGCUCAGUGUCCAAAGUGUCUCUAUAUCUGUAGCUAAUGGCGCUCCAUCCCAUCACUCCUGGUGUAGGUCCUAUGUGUCUCCGCACUAUGUAUAAUGGGAGUAGGUACUCUCCAGCCCUCCUGCAAACUCUGAUUCGGCCAUCGUUAGUACCAAGGUAGAAAAGUGCUUUGCCUUUCAUUACUGAAAAACUCCUUGGAAUGCACUUAGUGUGUGCACAUAAUGGAGAGCACUGCAGGAGAAGCCCUCUCAAAGUCCACAGGGUAUGGACUGGAAGUCAGCAGCAGUCCUAUUCAUGUAGUACUGCCCGUUUUACCACUUCCCAGCUCUGGAUCAAGGCUCAUGAACACUGAAUCCCUAAACAUGGGGUAGAGGGGCCUGCGCGUACAUAUUCAGAACCUGCAGAAAAUGGCUGCGUAGCCAGCUGUUUGCAGUCUGAACUCCAAAGGGAAAUUAUAGACACCGCAGUCUGUAGUGAAUAGAAAGUGAAACUCAUGACCAUUUUAUUUCUUCGGCUGUCAGCUCCUUU